rnacentral:rRNA from 1 species
GACGAACGCUGGCGGCGUGCUUAACACAUGCAAGUCGAACGGAAAGGCCCUGCUUUUGUGGGGUGCUCGAGUGGCGAACGGGUGAGUAACACGUGAGUAACCUGCCCUUGACUUUGGGAUAACUUCAGGAAACUGGGGCUAAUACCGGAUAGGAGCUCCUGCUGCAUGGCGGGGGUUGGAAAGUUUCGGCGGUUGGGGAUGGACUCGCGGCUUAUCAGCUUGUUGGUGGGGUAGUGGCUUACCAAGGCUUUGACGGGUAGCCGGCCUGAGAGGGUGACCGGCCACAUUGGGACUGAGAUACGGCCCAGACUCCUACGGGAGGCAGCAGUGGGGAAUAUUGCACAAUGGGCGGAAGCCUGAUGCAGCAACGCCGCGUGCGGGAUGACGGCCUUCGGGUUGUAAACCGCUUUCGCCUGUGACGAAGCGUGAGUGACGGUAAUGGGUAAAGAAGCACCGGCUAACUACGUGCCAGCAGCCGCGGUGAUACGGAGGGUGCGAGCGUUGUCCGGAUUUAUUUGGGCGUAAAGGGCUCGUAGGUGGUUGAUCGCGUCGGAAGUGUAAUCUUGGGGCUUAACCCUGAGCGUGCUUUCGAUACGGGUUGACUUGAGGAAGGUAGGGGAGAAUGGAAUUCCUGGUGGAGCGGUGGAAUGCGCAGAUAUCAGGAGGAACACCAGUGGCGAAGGCGGUUCUCUGGGCCUUUCCUGACGCUGAGGAGCGAAAGCGUGGGGAGCGAACAGGCUUAGAUACCCUGGUAGUCCACGCUGUAAACGGUGGGUACUAGGUGUGGGGUCCAUUCCACGGGUUCCGUGCCGUAGCUAACGCUUUAAGUACCCCGCCUGGGGAGUACGGCCGCAAGGCUAAAGCUCAAAGGAAUUGACGGGGCCCCGCACAAGCGGCGGAGCAUGCGGAUUAAUUCGAUGCAACGCGUAGAACCUUACCUGGGUUUGACAUGGAUCGGGAGUGCUCAGAGAUGGGUGUGCCUCUUUUGGGGUCGGUUCACAGGUGGUGCAUGGCUGUCGUCAGCUCGUGUCGUGAGAUGUUGGGUUAAGUCCCGCAACGAGCGCAACCCUUGUUCACUGUUGCCAGCACGUUAUGGUGGGGACUCAGUGGAGACCGCCGGGGUCAACUCGGAGGAAGGUGGGGAUGACGUCAGGUCAUCAUGCCCCUUAUGUCCAGGGCUUCACGCAUGCUACAAUGGCUGGUACAGAGAGUGGCGAGCCUGUGAGGGUGAGCGAAUCUCGGAAAGCCGGUCUCAGUUCGGAUUGGGGUCUGCAACUCGACCUCAUGAAGUCGGAGUCGCUAGUAAUCGCAGAUCAGCAACGCUGCGGUGAAUACGUUCCCGGGGCU